rnacentral:rRNA from 2 species
ACGGGAGGCAGCAGUGAGGAAUAUUGGUCAAUGGGCGGAAGCCUGAACCAGCCAUGUCGCGUGCAGGACUACGGCCCUACGGGUCUUAAACUGCUUUUGCAAGGGGAUAAAGUGGGGCACGCGUGCCCCUUUGCAGGUACCUUGCGAAUAAGGAUCGGCUAACUCCGUGCCAGCAGCCGCGGUAAUACGGAGGAUCCGAGCGUUAUCCGGAUUUAUUGGGUUUAAAGGGUGCGUAGGCGGGCUGUUAAGUCAGCGGUGAAACCCCCGGGCUCAACCCGGGGACUGCCAUUGAAACUGGCGGCCUUGAGUACGUUGGGAGUGCGCGGAAUGUGUGGUGUAGCGGUGAAAUGCAUAGAUAUCACACAGAACACCGAUCGCGUAGGCAGCGCACUACGCCGCAACUGACGCUGAGGCACGAAGGCGCGGGGAUCGAACAGGAUUAGAUACCCUGGUA